GAUGAACGCUGGCGGCGUGCCUAAUACAUGCAAGUCGAGCGAACAGACGAGGAGCUUGCUCCUCUGACGUUAGCGGCGGACGGGUGAGUAACACGUGGAUAACCUACCUAUAAGACUGGGAUAACUUCGGGAAACCGGAGCUAAUACCGGAUAAUAUAUUGAACCGCAUGGUUCAAUAGUGAAAGACGGUUUUGCUGUCACUUAUAGAUGGAUCCGCGCCGCAUUAGCUAGUUGGUAAGGUAACGGCUUACCAAGGCAACGAUGCGUAGCCGACCUGAGAGGGUGAUCGGCCACACUGGAACUGGGACACGGUCCAGACUCCUACGGGAGGCAGCAGUAGGGAAUCUUCCGCAAUGGGCGAAAGCCUGACGGAGCAACGCCGCGUGAGUGAUGAAGGUUUUCGGAUCGUAAAACUCUGUUAUUAGGGAAGAACAAAUGUGUAAGUAACUAUGCACGUCUUGACGGUACCUAAUCAGAAAGCCACGGCUAACUACGUG
rnacentral:rRNA from 1 species